rnacentral:rRNA from 1 species
GAACGCUGGCGGCGUGCUUAACACAUGCAAGUCGAACGAGUGUAGCAAUACAUUCGUGGCGAACGGGUGCGUAACACGUGGAUAACCUUCCUCCAGGUGGGGAAUAACUCCGCGAAAGCGGAGCUAAUACCGCAUAACAUCACGAUGGGACAUCCUGUUGUGAUCAAAGGCGCAAGUCGCCGGGAGAGGGAUCCGCGGCCGAUUAGCUAGUUGGCGAGGUAACGGCUCACCAAGGCAAUGAUCGGUAGCCGGUCUGAGAGGAUGAUCGGCCACACUGGAACUGAGACACGGUCCAGACUCCUACGGGAGGCAGCAGUGGGGAAUCUUGCACAAUGGGCGAAAGCCUGAUGCAGCAACGCCGCGUGGGGGAUGAAGCUUCUCGGAGUGUAAACCCCUUUCGACCCGGACGAAUGCCCGCAAGGGCUUGACGGUACGGGUAUAAGAAGCCCCGGCUAACUACGUGCCAGCAGCCGCGGUAAGACGUAGGGGGCCAGCGUUGCUCGGAAUUACUGGGCGUAAAGGGUCCGUAGGCGGUGUGGCAAGUCGGGAGUGAAAUCUCUGGGCUUAACUCAGAGGCUGCUUCCGAAACUGCUGUGCUAGAGUGUGAGAGAGGCGAGUGGA